rnacentral:lncRNA from 1 species
GGGCCUGAGGUGCGGGUACGCACUGAACAUUCCAACCGUCCCCAGCCGGCCGGGUUUCAGGUUUGAAAAGGUGGGAAGGUUAGCUGUCCUGGCGCUUUUCCUCCACGUGUUGUGCGGCUCCGCUGGAGUUCGGGUCCAGCACCUUCUACUCCGAGGGAGAGAGCCGCGGGGAGAGCCCUGUUCGGGCCCGCGGCUCGAACUGACCGCCGGCUCUGCCGAGCAGCCUCGACCCCAGGGCACCCCCGGGAGAGAGGGCGCGGCUCAGGUCCCUGCCCGAACCCCUGGGGUGCUGAGAGACUCCCCAGCGCCCCGCGUGGGCUCCCGGCCUCUCCACAGUUGAGGAUCCUGUAAGGGGCGAGCCCUUUUUCCCAUAAUGGCUGUAGUGAGUGGGUGUGCUUUCCCGAUUGACCCGCUGUGAGAAAUGUGGUUUACAGCUUCUAUCAGGAUUAGCUUCAGCUUCAAGUGACAAAAGUCACUUGAAAUAUGAGUUGCUGAAACAAGAUGGCAGUCUCUCCCCUCAACAGGACUGUUACAACACCUUAUCUUCAGAGAACCAGGCUCUCUGCAACAUUUCAGGGACGUCGUUCAGUACCUUAUGUGGAAUUCAAGCUUAGCUGGGCAUCCUAUGUUUUAACUGGCUAACUCGUGGAACUCUCAACUUGGAUCAAGUGGUAGUGGAGUCCCAGGGACUCUGAGCAGCCAGUGUGUGAUACUGCAGGGCAGCACACCCUGGGGAGGCCAACUGUACAGAAUAAAAUUAAUGCUUUCUAUCUUUAGCAACUAAAGUUCUGAAAUAUAAAAAGGACCUCACAGCUUAACCCAUGUUAUACGGUGGGGUUUUCCCAUGAACAUCACGCGUUUCCAGCUGGGCACUCCUGCAGCAUGGCUAAGAUGACAACUCAAGUUCCCUGGGAGUGGGGGUUCCUGGGAUGUGAACCUUUCGGUGCAAAAACUGGAGAAGUUCCAGUUGGGACCCCAGGCAUAGAUACUAGGAUAAAUAGGGCCUCUCUCCUCCAGGAGCAUCAAUUUAACCCAAAGAUUCUUGGAGUCAGUUUCACAUAAGUAAUCUUGUUGAAAAUAGUAAUCCCAACAGAUCUAUUUUUCCAAAUGCACCAUUUGCAUAAAUCUCAGAAAAAAGACAACUUCAAGAACAUACCUUUGCUGGGCACCAUGGCUCAUGCCUGUAAUCCCAACUACUUGGCAGGCUGAGGCACGAGGAUCACUUGAGGCCAGGAGUCUGAGAUCAGCUUGGGCAACUGAUUUAUGGUUUGGAUUUGUGUCCAUGCCCUUCCUCUUCUGCCAUGAUUAUAAGUUUCCUGAGGCCUCCCUAGCCAUGCUUCCUGUACAGCCUACAGAACUAUGAGUCAAUUAAACCUCUUUUCUUUAUAAAUUACCCAGUCUCAGGUAGUUCUUUAUAGUAAUGUGAGGAUGCACUAAUACAGCAAUAUAGUGAGAGCUCCAUCUCUACAAAUCUUUUUUAGAAAGACAGGACAUCCUGCUGGUUCUGCUGUGAGGUGUUGUGGGUGGAAGUUCAAGCAGCGCUGCCCUAAUACAUCCACAUAUGCUCCUGGCCAUUAUUCUUAUCUAACCUACGGUGCCUGGGACACAUCCCUUUCCUCAUUGAUUUUGGCAGCCGCUUCGCCCCAGGCUGCCUAGGGAAUCUGGCAGAUGUCCCCAUCCUGUAUUGUGCCUUAAUCCGUGCACUCUUCCUGGUGCAAGUGAAUCACGUGUUCCAUCUCCACAGCUGCCCAUCUUUCUUCACCUUGGGUUCAUUCAACUGAUGGGCUAAAACAGCUCAUUUUCAACCUGGGUUUUGUUACACCACUGCACACUGGGAAAUUCUUAAAGCCAAAUCAAUGUCAGUUCAGUUUCAAAGCAGAUAGGUAAGUUGUCCAUGGCAGAAGGAAAGCUGACUUACAUUCAAAC